rnacentral:rRNA from 1 species
GUCGGCCUACGGGAGGCAGCAGUAGGGAAUUUUCGUCAGUGGGCGCAAGCCUGAACGAGCAAUGCCGCGUGAACGAGGAAGGUCUUCGGAUCGUAAAGUUCUGUUGAAGGGGAAAAAGAGCGGAGAGAGGAAAUGAACUCCGAUUGAUAUUACCCUUCGAGGAAGUCACGGCUAACUACGUGCCAGCAGCCGCGGUAAUACGUAGGUGGCGAGCGUUAUCCGGAAUGAUUGGGCGUAGAGGGUGCGUAGGCGGCCUGCUAAGUCUGGAGUGAAAGGUACCGGCUCAACCGGUACAG